rnacentral:rRNA from 1 species
AUUAAAGUUGUUGCAGUUAAAAAGCUCGUAGUUGAAGUUCUGAUCGCUCAGGUCCUCAGCCUUAGGCGGGGAUUCUGACGGUCAUCCGCUUGCAAACAUAUGUUCGAUCUUCACCGGUUGGCUAUGUAAGUAAGCACUUUACCUUGAGAAAAACAGAGUGUUCCAGGCAGGUUUGUCCGGAAUGCAUUAGCAUGGAAUAAUAGAACAUGACUGAAGUCUAUUUAUUGGUUUAAGGCUUUAGUAAUGAUUAAUAGGAACAGUCGGGGGCAUUCGUACUCAGCAGUCAGAGGUGAAAUUCUAAGAUUUGCUGAAGACGAACUAAUGCGAAAGCAUUUGCCAAGGAUGUUUUCAUUAAUCAAGAACGAAAGUUAGGGGAUCAAAGACGAUCAGAUACCGUCCUAGUCUUAACUAUAAACCAUACCGACUCGGAUUCAGAUGAAUCAAAAUGUUCAUUUGGGACCGUAGGAGAAAUCAAAGUCUUUGGGUUCUGGGGGGAGUAUGGUCGCAAGGCUGAAACUUAAAGGAAUUGACGGUUUUGCACCACCAUGGAGUGGAGUCUGCGGCUUAAUUUGACUCAACACUGGGAAACUCAUCAGGGCAAGAAGAUUUUAGGAUUGACAGAUUGAGAGUUCUUUCUUGAUUGGUCUAGUGGUGGUGCAUGGCCGUUCUUAGUUGGUGGAGUGAUUUGUCUGGUUAAUUCCGUUAACGAACGAGACCUUAACCUGCUAACUAGUGCUUCGAUUCCUAAUCGAAGGCACUUCUUAGAGGGACUAUGUGUGGUAAUCACAUGGAAGUUUGAGGCAAUAACAGGUCUGUGAUGCCCUUAGAUGUCCUGAGCUGCACGCGUACUACAAUGGCACUUUCAACGAGUUUUUCCUGAUCCGAAAGGAUUUGGGUAAUCUUUUUAGGGAGUGCCGUGCUUGGGAUAGAUCUUUGUAAUUGUGGAUCUUGAACUAGGAAUUCCUAGUAAGCGCGAGUCAUCAUCUCGUGCUGAUUACGUCCCUGCAAAAUGUACACACCGCCCGUCGCUUUUACCGAUUGAGUGUUCAGGUGAGUCUUCUUGAUAGCGCAAGCUAAAAAUUAAACAAACCUUAGCACUUAGAGGAAAAAGAAGUCGUAACAAGGUUUCCGUAGGUGAACCUGCGGAAG